AAGAACUUAGUUAAAUUAUAACAUAAAUAUGUCAAAUUUAAAUUAAUCAAAAGAUUAGUACUUU
rnacentral:tRNA from 1 species